rnacentral:tmRNA from 1 species
GGGGGCGACAUGGCUUCGACGUGGGUAGUGAAGCUUAAGGAGCAUGCCGGGGCGCUCGUGGACCUCGUUAAAAACGAGCAACCUAUAGUUGCUAACGACAACUAUGCAUUUGCAGCUUAAUUAAGCUGCACGUCGACCAGGUAGUUGGUAACGCUACCUGGAAGGUGUAACUGUAGUUACCUCGGUGAUCGGUUGGUUUCUCCAGGGCCACUCACUUAAACAAGCUGGGGGAGGGACCGUAGAUAUUUUGUCGGUAGAAGCUCUGUGGUUCCUCUAAAAAUAUCGACUAAGCAUGUAGCGCCUUAAUGUGGAACACUUGCGGACGUGGGUUCAAUUCCCACCGCCUCCACCA